rnacentral:lncRNA from 1 species
UUUAAAACAUUUCUCAAUUAAUUGUUUGUGGAAUGGCUGAAUAUCUAGCUAAAUACAUCAGAUGACUGUGAUCCUGAAGCAUGUCUGAAUUAGUGAUUCUGCCCAGUUGCAAUUUUAAUUUUCCUGGGCUUGAGUGGAAAAGAUGCAAUUUUAAAGGGUUGGACAUUAUCAAAUCAAAGACAGGUGCUCAUUUUUAGUGUCUGAUGUUUUCUUCGAGGGUGUUAAGCAAGUCCAGGUGAUGUCAGCUGAACUGUGAGAGUUCAGCCCUUCCAAAAAAUCAGGUCCAAUGUCCAACAUCCUAAAAUGAGUACAUAUUUUUUGGAAAACGGAAGUCAUUAAUAUUUCAUUUUUGUGUCAUCUGCACAGAUACAAUCUGCAUUAGAACAUGGAGAUAAAUUAUGAAUGUUUAGGAGAUGUUUUGUGUAAGAAAAGCAUUAUAUGCACCCUUUAUUCUUCACUGUCUAUGACAAGAGAAAAUAAAACUGACACAUUUUCUUCRCUCUUUUCUGAACAUGAAACAAUCCCUAAUUUGUCACAGCUUCAUCUGCUCGUGCUGCAGACGCUCAUCUCCCAGAUAACUCCGUCCUUGCAUUUUUUGCUUUACGCACCGGAACAUAUCGACAGCACCUGCAACGUUUGUUUUUCCUCAGCCAGACCUCACUUGCCCCUGAUGGCUUUGCCGUCUCUUUACAGGUCUCGUCUCCCCUGGAUGCUGGCCUCCCCCUGCUUUCCGAGCGGGAUGAUCUGGUGUCCGUUGUUGCUGCCGGGGAGAGCUCGGGAAGGCAGCACGGCAGGAGUUACUCAGCUGCGGCUCCUCGCAGCCCUGCGUGCGGCGCUUCGCAGCCAUCUUAGCUGUGGGCAGAAAGCCUGUCAGGACUCGCACCACGCGUCAGCUGAUCAAUUGGUCCUUUGAACCGUUUGCAGUGGACCAGCCGGCAUGAAGAGCUGCUGCACCAAAAGCACAGGGUUUAUUUCUGAACCGAAGGCACUUUCUGUGAGGUGACUGCACAGUACACAGGUACCCACCCAGCAUUGCUAAAAUCCACCAAUUUCUGCGCAGAGUUUUAGCCAAAGCUCCCAAUACAAAUUCUAGGCACCAAGGAAAAAUACUGAGAUCUCCGACUGCACAGAUUAAAAAGAUAUUGUUUUUAAAUAUUUUACCUAAAAAACAGAAGUAAAUUAAAAUGUAGGUAG